GAUGAACGCUGGCGGCGUGCCUAAUACAUGCAAGUCGAGCGAACAGACGAGGAGCUUGCUCCUCUGACGUUAGCGGCGGACGGGUGAGUAACACGUGGAUAACCUACCUAUAAGACUGGGAUAACUUCGGGAAACCGGAGCUAAUACCGGAUAAUAUAUUGAACCGCAUGGUUAAUAGUGAAAGACGGUUUUGCUGUCACUUAUAGAUGGAUCCGCGCCGCAUUAGCUAGUUGGUAAGGUAACGGCUUACCAAGGAGACGAUGCGUAGCCGACCCGAGAGGGAGAUCGGCCACACUGGAACUGAGACACGGUACAGACUCCUACAGGAGGACGCAGUAGGGACUCUUACGCGAUGGGCGAAAGCCUGACGGAGCAAAGCCGCGUGAGUGAUGAAGGUCUUCUGAUCGUAAAACUCUGUUAUUAGGGAAGAACAAAUGUGUAAGUAACUAUGCACGUCUUGACGGUACCUAAUCAGAAAGCCACGGCUAACUACGUG
rnacentral:rRNA from 1 species